GACGAACGCUGGCGGCGUGCUUAACACAUGCAAGUCGAACGAUGAAGCCGGAGCUUGCUCUGGUGAAUUAGUGGCGAACGGGUGAGUAACACGUGAGUAACCUGCCCUUGACUCUGGGAUAACUGCUAGAAAUGGUAGCUAAUACCGGAUACGACCCUCGGAGGCAUCUUCAGGGGGUGGAAAGAAUUUCGGUCAAGGAUGGACUCGCGGCCUAUCAGCUAGUUGGUGAGGUAACGGCUCACCAAGGCGACGACGGGUAGCCGGCCUGAGAGGGUGACCGGCCACACUGGGACUGAGACACGGCCCAGACUCCUACGGGAGGCAGCAGUGGGGAAUAUUGCACAAUGGGCGCAAGCCUGAUGCAGCAACGCCGCGUGAGGGAUGACGGCCUUCGGGUUGUAAACCUCUUUUAGUAGGGAAGAAGCGAAAGUGACGGUACCUGCAGAAAAAGCACCGGCUAACUACGUGCCAGCAGCCGCAGUAA
rnacentral:rRNA from 1 species